rnacentral:rRNA from 1 species
AUUGAACGCUGGCGGCAUGCUUUACACAUGCAAGUCGAACGGUAACAGGGUGCUUGCUCCGCUGAGGGGUGGCGAACGGGUGAGUAAUGCGUCGGAACGUGACGAGUCGUGGGGGAUAACGCAGCGAAAGUUGUGCUACUAACGCAUCAGGACUGAGGUAUAAAGUGGGGGACCUUCGGGACUCAGGCUAUUCGAGCGGCACACGUCUGAUUGGCUAGUAGGUGAGGUAAAGGCUCACCUUAGCGACGAUCAGUAGCGGGGAUGAGAGGAGGGUCCGCCACACUGGGACUGAGACACGGCCCAGACUCUUACGGUAGGCAGCAGUGGGGAAUUUUGGACAAUGGGCGAAAGCCUGAUCCAGCCAUGCCGCGUGUCUGAAGUAGGCCUUCGGGUUGUAAAGGACUUUUGUCAGGGAGGAAAUCCCUAGUGCUAAUAACAGUGGGGGAUGACAGUACCUGAAGAAUAAGCACCGGCUAACUACGUGCCAGCAGCCGCGGUAA